rnacentral:rRNA from 1 species
AGCAGUCGCCGCGGGAAUACGUAGGUCCCGAGCGUUGUCCGGAUUUAUUGGGCGUAAAGGGAGCGCAGGCGGUUUAGUAAGUCUGAAGUUAAAGGCAUUGGCUCAACCAAUGUAUGCUUUGGAAACUGUUAGACUUGAGUGCAGAAGGGGAGAGUGGAAUUCCAUGUGUAGCGGUGAAAUGCGUAGAUAUAUGGAGGAACACCGGUGGCGAAAGCGGCUCUCUGGUCUGUCACUGACGCUGAGGCUCGAAAGCGUGGGUAGCGAGCAGGAUUAGAUACCCGGGUAGUCCCUGUCUCUUAUACA